UACGUAGGGUGCGAGCGUUAAUCGGAAUUACUGGGCGUAAAGCGUGCGCAGGCGGUGAUGUAAGACCGAUGUGAAAUCCCCGGGCUUAACCUGGGAACUGCAUUGGUGACUGCAUCGCUCGAGUAUGGCAGAGGGGGGUAGAAUUCCACGUGUAGCAGUGAAAUGCGUAGAGAUGUGGAGGAACACCGAUGGCGAAGGCAGCCCCCUGGGUUAACACUGACGCUCAGGCACGAAAGCGUGGGGAGCAAACAGG
rnacentral:rRNA from 1 species